rnacentral:rRNA from 1 species
CCUACGUGUGGCAGCAGUGGGGCAUAUUGGGCCAUGGGCGCACGCCUGACCCAGCAACGCCGCGUGAAGGAAGAAGGCUUUCGGGUUGUAAACUUCUUUUGUCAGGGACGAAGCAAGUGACGGUACCUGACGAAUAAGCCACGGCUAACUACGUGCCAGCAGCCGCGGUAAUACGUAGGUGGCAAGCGUUAUCCGGAGUUACUGGGUGUAAAGGGCGUGUAGGCGGGGAAGCAAGUCAGAUGUGAAAACCACGGGCUGAACCUGUGGCCUGCAUUUGAAACUGUUUUUCUUGAGUACUGGAGAGGCAGACGGAAUUCCGAGUGUAGCGGUGAAAGGCGUAGAUAUUAGGAGGAACACCAGUGGCGAAGGCGGUCUGCUGGACAGCAACUGACGCUGAGGCGCGAAAGCGUGGGGAGCAAACAGGAUUAGAUACCCCUGUAGUC